GUUUUGCUUUAAGUUUGGAUUUCUUUGUGCCUACAACUCUGCAAUCUAAGAAUAAUAAGCAGCUGCCCCCCCCCCAGGACAUUAGGUGUUCCUGACCUGCAGCCGGACAGCUCACACCUCCCAUUUGAUGAGAUCAGAGAUCUGAUGGAACUGACAGGAGGACCCAUGAGCCAGUGCAUGGGCCACUGUACUGCAGCAUACUAUGAGCCUGUUGAUCAAUGAUUCUGUGGCACUUGCUGUUCAGGAUGCAGCCUCAUGCUCGUGACAGUGUCAGCACAGUUAAUGCUAAUCCAAGAGAUUUCAUCCCCUUCGCAACACAUUUAUUUUUUCUUAUAAUUAUAAUAUUAAUUGUAUUACUAUGGUAGCCAAACCUGUGAGCCGAGCAGGGCCUUUCUGUGUUAGUUUGCAUGUUCUCUCUUUCCCUUUUGACCAAAAUGAACCAGGUGCCAGGGCUGAUUCAGAGUCAGUUCAACUAGCAAACCUUUAAAGAACCAAAGAGCAAUCAUUAUUUCAUAUACAGCUGCAUACAUCGCUCAAUUCAUCACUGAUUUCCCAUCAAUACUCCUGUCGACUGUAAUCAGGGCAUCCACAAUGGUAGACUACAGCGUCUCUCCUCCAUUGUUGCUCCAUAUUGGCAUCUAAACACGUAAGGUCCAUUAUUAAAAUUGUUAAAUUUUGUUUGCCGAUUACGCUUGACACAAACUCUGUUUUCUUUUUUAAAUGGUGGUCACAAUAUUUUUUAUAGUCUUACUGGUCUUGUCAGGUCACGAUAAUCUCACCUCCAGUCCAUGACAUAAGCUUUUUUUCUUCUGGACCAGCGAAGUGGUGCCAGAGUUGUACCUGUUUUUCUGUCCGAGAGACGGUUCUAUGGCUGUCAAAACAUUAAGUGGAAAAGGGGGACCUGUCUCUGCUUGAGUUUUCCUCUACUUCCCACAGUACAAGGAUAUGAAACUGGGGUUAAAGGUCCAGUGUGUAAGAUUUAGGUGAAAGGGACCUAUUGGCAGAAAUUGAAUAUAAAAUAAUCGUUUUUCAUAGUUUCCAUUAGUGUGUUUCAUCUAAACUAAUCAUUGUUUUCUCUACCCUAGGAUGGGCCCCUUAUAUUUAAAUACUUCAUAUUCACGUCACAAGCGGGUCCUCUUUAUGGAGACCGCCAUGUUUUUAACAGUAGCCCAAACUGGGCAAA